UACGUAGGGGGCAAGCGUUGUCCGGAUUUAUUGGGCGUAAAGAGCGUGUAGGCGGUUAGGUAGGUCCGUUGUGAAAACUCGAGGCUCAACCUCGAGACGCCGAUGGAAACCAUCUAACUAGAGUCCGGAAGAGGCGAGUGGAAUUCCUGGUGUAGCGGUGGAAAUGCGCAGAUAUCAGGAGGAACACCAAUAGCGAAGGCAGCUCGCUGGGACGUUACUGACACUGAGGCGCGAAAGCGUGGGGAGCGAACAGG
rnacentral:rRNA from 1 species